rnacentral:misc_RNA from 1 species
GAUGAAGGAACGUAGUGAAAUGCGAUAAGUAAUGUGAAUUGCAGAAUUCAGUGAAUCACCGAAUCUUUGAACGCACCUUGCGCCCUUUGGCCAUUCCGAAGGGCAUGCCUGUUUGAGUAUCAUGAACACCUCAACUCUUUAUGGUUUUCCAUGAUGAGCUUGGACUCUGGGGGUUUUGCUGGCUCACAGUCGGCUCCUCUAAAAUGAAUCAGCUUACCAGUGUUUGGUGGGUAUCAUGGGUGUGAUAACUAUCUACGCUUGUGGUUUUUCCACCAGGUAACCUUCAGCAGUGGAGGUUCGCUGGAGCUCAUAGAUGUCUCUCCUCAGUGAGGACAGCCCUUUGAAUGUUUGAUCUCAAAUCAGGUAGGACUACCCGCUGAACUUAAGCAUAUCAAUAAGCGGAGGA